CCUACGGGCGGCAGCAGUAGGGAAUAUUGCUCAAUGGGGGAAACCCUGAAGCAGCAACGCCGCGUGGAGGAUGAAGGUUUUCGGAUUGUAAACUCCUUUUGUUAGAGAAGUUAAUUACGGUAUCUAACGAAUAAGCACCGGCUAAACUCGUGCCAGCAGCCGGGGUUAUAAGGAGGGUGCAGGCGUUACUCGGAAUCACUGGGCGUAAAGAGCGCGUAGGCGGGAUAGCAAGUCAGAUGUGAAAUCCUAUGGCUUAAACAUAGAACUGCAUUUGAAACUGUUAUUCUAGAGUAUGAGAGGGGGAGGGGGAAUUCUGGGUGUAGGGGUAAAAACCGUAGAAAUCAAG
rnacentral:rRNA from 1 species